GGAUCAAUGACGCUUACAAAAAUGAUCUCCUUGGAAUAUGAACAAGAUGAGUGACCAAGACACUUCUGUGAGCUGUGGUCC
rnacentral:snoRNA from 1 species